GAGUUCAUGCCCUUCGGGGUAGAUCUCCCACCCUUUGUAUACUAUACCUUUGUUGCUUUGGCGGGCCGCCUAGCUACUGGCUUCGGCUGGUAAGUGCCCGCCGAUUGGACCACUUAAACCCAUUGCAGUUUUGUAAUCAGCGUCUGAAAAACUUAAUAGUUACAACUUUCAACAACGGAUCUCUUGGUUCU
rnacentral:misc_RNA from 1 species